GACGAACGCUGGCGGCGUGCUUAACACAUGCAAGUCGAGCGGUAAGGCCCUUUCGGGGGUACACGAGCGGCGAACGGGUGAGUAACACGUGGGUGACCUGCCCUCCACUCUGGGAUAAGCCCGGGAAACUGGGUCUAAUACCGGAUAGGACCAUUGGAUGCAUGUCUGGUGGUGGAAAGUUUUUUCGGUGGGGGAUGGGCCCGCGGCCUAUCAGCUUGUUGGUGGGGUGAUGGCCUACCAAGGCGGUGACGGGUAGCCGGCCUGAGAGGGCGACCGGCCACACUGGGACUGAGACACGGCCCAGACUCCUACGGGGGGCAGCAGUGAGGAAUAUUGGGCAAUGGGCGAAGGCCUGACCCAGCAACGCCGCGUGGAGGAAGAAGGCCUUCGGGUCGUAAACUCCUUUUACGGGGGAAGAGGAAGGACGGUACCCCGAGAAUAAGUCACGGCUAACUACGUGCCAGCAGCCGCGGUAA
rnacentral:rRNA from 1 species